AUCACCCCACUGGUUGUCAUUCGCAUGAAAGAGGUUUUGGAUGGCCUCAAUCUCUCGCCAAUUUGGCUAUCAUAACCAACAACGUUCAUUUUUUUUCCCUUCUAGUGCCUCAAAGCACUUCUAACCAGAAUCAAUCUCCAAUGCCUUCUCCUCUUAAGUGGUAUAGACAACCAACCAGGCAGCACGAUUCUCACCCUUCUCUCAAUGGUCUUCGUGCAUAUGCCAAACUUCGUCAUUCCUUUAUAUUGCUCGCAGAUCUUUCUUGCUCUGAUACCAAUUGUCACGGUUUCAGAUUUUAGCAAUCGCCUGGAACCGUGCGGCACUUGACUUGAACACCUUCAAUGUAACAGCCCGGAAACCGAUACCCUCUUUGUAACGGCCCAAACUGCUCGGCACUAGGAUCCAGAUCGACUUAAGGCCGCCUAGACCCGUAGUAAGCCUAUCCUGAACUCUGUGUACCUGUUAAAAUCCCAUACAUGAUCCGACUGGACUAUUACUUUUUAAAACUUGCCUUUAAAACUACCAGACUUAACCUUUAAAACACUGUACUAUAGGUCCAAUCAUAUGAACCAAAUGCUCCGACAUACUAAUCUGAACUAGCCCUCAGGGCUAUCUGUAAUAAACCAGUGAUACUCUACCAAGUAACCUCCAUGCACUAUGCUUUGAAACAUAGAACCCACCCUGUAGGGUCAGCAUAUCAUAAGUUAACUUGGCUACCAUAGAGUCACAGGAAUCAAACCUGGUCUUCUCUAUUGGCCUCUCUAUGGAUCACAGGAAUCAAACCUGAUCUUUCCUCCGCACUGGUCUUGGGUCAAAGGAAGUAAUCCCUAUCUUCCCUCACAGUUAUAAUUCACUGGGUUUUCGAAACACAACAUUUAUUAAGCCUGGUUUGACUCAUUUCUCAUCAUGAAACUGAAAACAGGAUACAUGCAUAGACAAGGGAUAAAACAUACUAUAGGCAAAGCACAUACUAAACCACAAGCACACUAUCUGACUGUUUAUUACAUCUGUAAUACAUAUCUCUUUACUUUACAUCAUGUCCACACUAACUAUACAUAAGCAUACUGAAGCCAUAACUCUGUUGCUUCUCACUUCCCAGCUACUCUGACCCUGCAAAAACUGGGAUUAAGGGAAAGGGAUGAGCUAUAAAGCCCAGUGAGUAGAAACACUGAAAACAGUUCAUUCAUACGCAUUUUAUAUGAGAAUGCAUCACAACUCAAACAUUCCACAUCUUUGAUUAGACAUGACCUCAAAACUCCCUCGACGGGCUAUUGAUGUCGCCUUGGUCCAAUCAUCUGGAAUUAGACAUGACCUCAAAACUCCCACUGAGGGCUAUUGAUGUCGCCUUGGUCCAAUUCCCACUAUCACUGUAAUAAUGCAAUGCAGCAUCUUCGUGAUUCUAAUGCAAUCACCCUAAUAUAAAUCAUACCAUAUAUGAUGCAUGAACUAUGCUCACAAGCAUUCUGGUACUUUAAUAUAAAACAUUAAGUUUAGUUCUACUCACCUCUGCUCCUCUGGCAGAUACUGUACUGACUCUGUAACCUCUAUCUCUGAUGACCUCCUCGAACUCUCGGGUCCAAACCUAUACAAAUGGACUCGAAUGAGGUGUCAAACAUACUCUUAUACAAUCCCCCAUAAUCCCUUCUGACCCUUUAAAAGCAAUCACACAAAGCAUGCAAAAGAAGGCUGGACAGAACACAUUCGGCGGCAGGUUCGGCGGCCGAAUGUCCUGAACAGAGCCGAAACUCAAGUACCUUCGGCGGCCGAAUAUCCUCUUUCGGCGGCCGAACCCUUUCGGGGCUACUUUCGGAGGCCGAAACCCCUAAACAGAGCCGAACCUCAAGGCACUCAGGGGCAAGCUGUGGCAGUCUAAGCCACCAUGCAAGGGGUUCGGCGGCCGAAUCCUUCUUCGGCUGCCGAACCUGAGUUCUUUAAGAACUCAGCUUCUUCCGCAACCUAGCUCCUCCAUCUUUUCCUCCUCUCUAAACAUGCAUAACUCCAAACCUCAACUUACAUAUACUCAAGUAUAUGCUCCAAAGGGUCCAAAACUACCUAUCAACCCCAACAAUCAACACACAUAACACAUAAUCAUGCAUAAACCAUUAAAAUACCAAAACUAAACCUAUAAACAUAACUCUACCCUUAACCUCUUUAAAAGCUGUUAGAAAGCAUGAAAACAAGGUAAAAGCUUCCCUUACCUCUUAAAAACAGAAGCUAGACAAUCAGAACUCACAGCUAUACACCAACACCUCUUCUCCUUCACCAAACCCUUAAAGCUCUCUUCUUUUAUUUCAAAACGUUCUAAACACUUUACCACCCUCAAACCUGUGCAUGAGUGAGUAAAAGCUUAUAGAUGAGUCAUGGGAGACGUGGCAUAACCUCUGGGAAGAUUUGGAGGUAACAUCUGUCCCAAAACAAUGACUAAGGAGUGCCCACACAUUGGCUGGCCAACUCAGCUUCGGCUGCCGAAUCGCAUGCAAAACCAUGCAACAUUCGGGGGCCGAACUUAACCUUCGGAGGCCCAACAUUGAGCACUUUCGGCGGCCGAACUUAACAUUCGGGGGCCGAACAUGACAGAAACUCCUUUGGCCAUUUCUCCCAAAAACUCAACUAUUUCCUAAUCAAACCGUGAAAAUACUUUAAAACAUUUUAGAAAACCUUCACUCUACCCUCAGGAAACCUCUGACAUCCUUGAAUCCCACCGGACGGUAAGAAUUCCGAUGCCGGGUUUAGCCGGGUAUUACAUUCAAGCCAAGUCAGCCUUAA
rnacentral:lncRNA from 1 species